rnacentral:rRNA from 1 species
CCCUUAGAUGUUCUGGGCCGCACGCGCGCUACGCUGAUGAACGCAACGAGACCACCUGUACCGAAAGGCAUGGGUAAACUUGUGAAAGUUCAUCGUGAUGGGGAUAGAUUAUUGCAAUUAUUAAUCUUCAACGAGGAAUUCCUAGUAAGCGCGAGUCAUCAGCUCGCGUUGAUUACGUCCCUGCCCUUUGUACACACCGCCCGUCGCUCCUACCGAUUGAAUGGUCCGGUGAAAUCUUCGGAUUGCUGGAUAGGACUUCAUUGACCUAUCUGCGAGAAGUUGCUUGAACCUUAUCAUUUAGAGGAAGGAGAAGUCGUANCA